CAACUUUCAGCAACGGAUCUCUUGGCUCUCGCAUCGAUGAAGAACGCAGCGAAAUGCGAUAAGUAAUGUGAAUUGCAGAAUUCAGUGAAUCAUCGAAUCUUUGAACGCACCUUGCCGCUCCUUGGUAUUCCGAGGAGCAUGCCUGUUUGAGUGUCAUUA
rnacentral:rRNA from 1 species